rnacentral:rRNA from 1 species
GAUGAACGCUGGCGGCGUGCCUAAUACAUGCAAGUCGAGCGAACAGACGAGGAGCUUGCUCCUCUGACGUUAGCGGCGGACGGGUGAGUAAAACGUGGAUAACCUACCUAUAAGACUGGGAUAACUUCGGGAAACCGGAGCUAAUACCGGAUAAUAUAUUUAACCGCAUGGGUCAAUAGUGAAAGACGGUUUUGCUGUCACUUAUAGAUGGAUCCGCGCCGCAUUAGCUAGUUGGUAAGGUAACGGCUUACCAAGGCGACGAUGCGUAGCCGACCUGAGAGGGUGAUCGGCCACACUGGAACUGAGACACGGUCCAGACUCCUACGGGAGGCAGCAGUAGGGAAUCUUCCGCAAUGGGCGAAAGCCUGACGGAGCAACGCCGCGUGAGUGAUGAAGGUCUUCGGAUCGUAAAACUCUGUUAUUAGGGAAGAACAAAUGUGUAAGUAACUAUGCACGUCUUGACGGUACCUAAUCAGAAAGCCACGGCUAACUACGUG